rnacentral:rRNA from 1 species
GACGAACGCUGGCGGCGUGCUUGACACAUGCAAGUCGAACGGAAAGGCCUGCUUUCCCUUGUGGAUUGCGGGUACUCGAGUGGCGAACGGGUGAGUAACACGUGAGUGGUCUGCCCCCAACUUGGGUAUAAGCCUGGGAAACUGGGUCUAAUUCCCGAUAGGACUGCAGGGUGGUGCCCGUGGUGGAAAACGAUUUUCUAGUGGUUGGGGAUGAGCUCGCGGCCUAUCAGCUUGUUGGUGGGGUAAUGGCCUACCAAGGCGGCGACGGGUAGCCGGCCUGAGAGGGUGGACGGCCACAUUGGGACUGAGAUACGGCCCAGACUCCUACGGGAGGCAGCAGUGGGGAAUAUUGCACAAUGGGCGGAAGCCUGAUGCAGCGACGCCGCGUGGGGGAUGACGGCCUUCGGGUUGUAAACUCCUUUCGACCGCGAGGAAGCCACCUGGUUGGAAGGGUGGUGACGGUAGUGGUAGAAGAAGCACCGGCUAACUACGUG